AUGCACAUGAAGCAGAUCUUCUAGCUUUUCGAGGGAAAAAUUAGGUCUGUGUCAUGUGCAUUUGACUAGUAGUGUUAAGCCAGUUUUAAUUAUGUUUUUGUUCUUCUAUUUUCAAC